GGGUUGUGAGGUUAAGCGACUAAGCGUACACGGUGGAUGCCCUGGCAGUCAGAGGCGAUGAAGGGCGUGCUAAUCUGCGAUAAGCGCCGGUAAGGUGAUAUGAACCGUUAUAACCGGCGAUACCCGAAUGGGGAAACCCAGUGUGAUUCGUCACACUAUCAUUAACUGAAUCCAUAGGUUAAUGAGGCGAACCGGGGGAACUGAAACAUCUAAGUACCCCGAGGAAAAGAAAUCAACCGAGAUUCCCCCAGUAGCGGCGAGCGAACGGGGAGGAGCCCAGAGCCUGAAUCAGCAUGUGUGUUAGUGGAAGCGUCUGGAAAGGCGCGCGAUACAGGGUGACAGCCCCGUACACAAAAGCGCAUAUGCUGUGAGCUCGAUGAGUAGGGCGGGACACGUGGUAUCCUGUCUGAAUAUGGGGGGACCAUCCUCCAAGGCUAAAUACUCCUGACUGACCGAUAGUGAACCAGUACCGUGAGGGAAAGGCGAAAAGAACCCCGGCGAGGGGAGUGAAAAAGAACCUGAAACCGUGUACGUACAAGCAGUGGGAGCCCCACCACUAAGCCAGUGGUGAACUCCACAUACGCAUCCUUUGCUGAGGAGACGGUUAACGGAGCGAAAGCGACGUUCAACCUCAAAAGAAGCAGAGGGGGCUUAGUGGUGGGGUGACUGCGUACCUUUUGUAUAAUGGGUCAGCGACUUAUAUUCUGUAGCAAGGUUAACUGUAUAGGGGAGCCGGAGGGAAACCGAGUCUUAACCGGGCGUUAAGUUGCAGGGUAUAGACCCGAAACCCGGUGAUCUAGCCAUGGGCAGGUUGAAGGUUGGGUAACACUAACUGGAGGACCGAACCGACUAAUGUUGAAAAAUUAGCGGAUGACCUGUGGCUGGGGGUGAAAGGCCAAUCAAACCGGGAGAUAGCUGGUUCUCCCCGAAAGCUAUUUAGGUAGCGCCUCGUGAAUUCAUCUCCGGGGGUAGAGCACUGUUUCGGCUAGGGGGCCAUCCCGGCUUACCAACCCGAUGCAAACUGCGAAUACCGGAGAAUGUUAUCACGGGAGACACACGGCGGGUGCUAAUGUCCGUCGUGAAGAGGGAAACAACCCAGACCGCCAGCUAAGGUCCCAAAGUCAUGGUUAAGUGGGAAACGAUGUGGGAAGGCCCAGACAGCCAGGAUGUUGGCUUAGAAGCAGCCAUCAUUUAAAGAAAGCGUAAUAGCUCACUGGUCGAGUCGGCCUGCGCGGAAGAUGUAACGGGGCUAAACCAUGCACCGAAGCUGCGGCAGCGACACCGUGUGUUGUUGGGUAGGGGAGCGUUCUGUAAGCCUGUGAAGGUGUGCUGUGAGGCAUGCUGGAGGUAUCAGAAGUGCGAAUGCUGACAUAAGUAACGAUAAAGCGGGUGAAAAGCCCGCUCGCCGGAAGACCAAGGGUUCCUGUCCAACGUUAAUCGGGGCAGGGUGAGUCGACCCCUAAGGCGAGGCCGAAAGGCGUAGUCGAUGGGAAACGGGUUAAUAUUCCCGUACUUGGUGUUACUGCGAAGGGGGGACGGAGAAGGCUAUGUUGGCCGGGCGACGGUUGUCCCGGUUUAAGCGUGUAG
rnacentral:rRNA from 1 species